UGGGGAAUUUUGGACAAUGGGCGAAAGCCUGAUCCAGCAAUGCCGCGUGUGUGAAGAAGGCCUUCGGGUUGUAAAGCACUUUUGUCCGGAAAGAAAUCCUUGGCUCUAAUACAGUCGGGGGAUGACGGUACCGGAAGAAUAAGCACCGGCUAACUACGUGCCAGCAGCCGCGGUAAUACGUAGGGUGCAAGCGUUAAUCGGAAUUACUGGGCGUAAAGCGUGCGCAGGCGGUUUGCUAAGACCGAUGUGAAAUCCCCGGGCUCAACCUGGGAACUGCAUUGGUGACUGGCAGGCUAGAGUAUGGCAGAGGGGGGUAGAAUUCCACGUGUAGCAGUGAAAUGCGUAGAGAUGUGGAGGAAUACCGAUGGCGAAGGCAGCCCCCUGGGCCAAUACUGACGCUCAUGCACGAAAGCGUGGGGGAGCAAACAGGAUUAGAUACCCUGGUAGUCCGCGCCCUAAACGAUGUCAACUAGUUGUUGGGGAUUCAUUUCCUUAGUAACGUAGCUAACGCGUGAAGUUGACCGCCUGGGGAGUACGGUCGCAAGAUUAAAACUCAAAUGAAUUGACGGGGUCAUAGCUGUUUCCU
rnacentral:rRNA from 1 species